rnacentral:rRNA from 1 species
AGUAAAAGUCGUAACAAGGUUUCCGUAGGUGAACCUGCGGAAGGAUCAUUACCGAGUGAGGGCCCUCUGGGUCCAACCUCCCACCCGUGUUUAUUUUACCUUGUUGCUUCGGCGGGCCCGCCUUUACUGGCCGCCGGGGGGCUCACGCUCCCGGGCCCGCGCCCGCCGAAGACACCCCCGAACUCUGUCUGAAGAUUGCAGUCUGAGUGAAAACGAAAUUAUUUAAAACUUUCAACAACGGAUCUCUUGGUUCCGGCAUCGAUGAAGAACGCAGCGAAAUGCGAUACGUAAUGUGAAUUGCAAAUUCAGUGAAUCAUCGAGUCUUUGAACGCACAUUGCGCCCCCUGGUAUUCCGGGGGGCAUGCCUGUCCGAGCGUCAUUGCUGCCCUCAAGCCCGGCUUGUGUGUUGGGCCCCGUCCCCCGAUCCCGGGGGACGGGCCCGAAAGGCAGCGGCGGCACCGCGUCCGGUCCUCGAGCGUAUGGGGCUUUGUCACCCGCUCCGUAGGCCCGGCCGGCGCCUGCCGAUCAACCCCAAAUUUUUAAUCCAGGUUGACCUCGGAUCAGGUAGGGAUACCCGCUGAACUUAAGCAUAUCAAUAAGCGGAGGAAAAGAAACCAACAGGGAUUGCCCCAGUAACG